GAAUUUAGGGCGUCUACUUCGGUAGGGCCUGACCCCCACUUUCUAACUCUGUGCACUCAUUUGGCGGAAAACGGAAUAGUGAUUGUUUCAUUACGAUUGCGACUUCUGGUUUCUGCGGCUCACUUUAAACACUAGUCAAAGUAUGUAACGAAAUAUCGAAAUAAAAAAAAACUUUCAACAACGGAUCUCUUGGCUCU
rnacentral:misc_RNA from 1 species